AGGGCCGAGCCGAGCCAAUGGCUGACGAGUGUCGGUAGCGCGCUGGCCUGUCGCGGUUCCCUCGGUUUUGGCACCGCCCACCUUUAGGCCGCUCCUGGGGCGCGGUCCGGCCGCUCCACCCGUGACCGGUCAGCGCCCGGCUUCUUGGAGUCCCGGCCCGCGGGGACGCCCGCGGGGACGCCCGCCCCACCCCGGGGCCGAGGGGGAACAUGGCUGCUGCGUCGGGUCUGGAUCAUCUCAAAAAUGAAUAUAGAAGAAGAUUUUGCCGACCUUCCAGAGCCCCUGCCAUUAAUACGAAGGAAGGCCAGAACAUACUGGAAAUCUUACAAGACUGUUUUGAAGAAAAAAGUUUUGCUAAUGAUUUUAGCACAAAUUCUACAAAAUCAGUGCUUUUUUCAACACCUAAAGUAGGAGACAUUUGUAUUCAGUCACCAAGCAAAGAGGCUCAGUGCCAGAAAUCUCAUCUGAAGUCAGUUCCAGUUUCUUCAAGGAAGAAAGAAAGUGAAGGUGUCAACAGAUCAGCUCAAGACCAUGAAGUUCAUCAGCAAAUUUUGGCAACUGUUGGUUCUAAAAAUACACCUGGCUUAAGAAGAACGUCAAGUAAAAAACUCAGAGAUCACCACAGUGAAGCCAGUGAAAAAUUUCACUUAUCUGUUGGCUCACCUGUAGUUCUUUUGGAUGCAAAAGCUUCUGUAUUGCAAAAUGCUGUUCCAUCUGUGGCCCAAAAGAGAGAGACCUACACUUCUGAAAAUUCAGUAAAUACAUUGCCUUCAAGUACAGAAAUUUCUCUUAAAACCAGAAAAAGGUUAAAUUUUGAAGAAAAAAGUGUUUUGAAGAAAGGAGAAAUAGCAAAUAAAGUAUCAGAAAUAGAAGAUAAAGUAUCAGAAGAAACACAAAAGAGGAGAUCAUUAAGAAUAUCUCAGAAAAGAGUACAAGACUCAGAAGAUGAAAUUCAGCCACAAACUAAAAAAAGUUUUUCAACAUUGUUUUUAGAAACUGUAAAACGAAAAAGUGAAUCCAGUCCUGUUGUUAGGCAUAUAGCAACUGCUCCACCUCAUUCAUCUCCUUCAAAUGACCUAACGUUGUUAGAGGAUGAAUUUAUAAUUGAUGAAUCAGAAAGCAGUAUUGCCAGUCAACCUUGGAUUACUAUACCCAGAAAGGCUGGGUCUCUGAAACAGUGCACAGUGUACCCUGCAGAGAGCUCUGCACUACUUCAAAGUAAGAAGUCAAAAGAAAAACAUCACAGCCUGUCACCUACAGCUUUGACAAGUGACAAACAUUCUGACACAGCUUAUGCAGUAGAGACGUCUCCGCCCUCUGAACAAAGAAGACUGGGUAGAAGUUGUGCUUCGACAAAUGAACUGGAAAAUGAUUAUAGAUCUACAAAACAUGAAAUGUAUUAUGAGAAUGCAGAGAAAUCAUCUGGAAAGAAAAAGACUAUACAACAACAAGAGAGAGGAAAAUUUAAGGCCAAUAUCCUUGAAGAACAGGUUGAUAUGGAACAAUCGAAAGAUAACAAUAUAAAUGUGUCACAUAUCACCCAAGAUAAAUUACAGAGAAAUUCAGAUAGAAAUAUGGAAGAGUGUGAAAAGGUGAUAAAUGUUGGUAUUUCCAAAAAACAGAUGCUGCCUGUGGGAAGCAAGAAAAAUAGCACCAAUGUUCCUUAUACAGUGUAUCAGAAAAAAGAUAAGAAAUCUAAAAAGAAGCAUUUUCCUAGUGGGUCCAAGAAGAAUAAGCUUAUACCUGAUGAAGUGACUUCAACUAUUACAAGAAGUCGAAGAAUUUCCCGGCACCCAUCUGAUUGGUGGGUGGUAAAAUCAGAGCAGAGUCAUGUUUAUAGCAAUUCUCCAAGAAGAAAUGAAUUGUCAUUGUCUUACGACUGUAGACAAAAACUUGCUGAAAAACCAAAUCAGUCAUCUAAGAAUACUAAGGAAAAAACUACCCCAUUUAAAGAGCGGAAGAUAACUACUUCAGGCAGCUCAGGAGCACAGGAGUUUUUAAAUGCUAAAGAUUCUGGAAGAGUUACUGACCAUGAUGAAAUUUCUGGUUGUUGCCAGAAUGAGUCAUUAGAAAGUGAUGAGGAAGACCUGGUUACGAAGAAAAAUCAUUCUGGAGGUAUAGGAAAUCCAAAGAAGAAAGAUAAUAUGACCGCACAAAAUGUUCAUCUGAAGUCUCAGAUCAAGGAAUUUACAUGCAAGACUCCAGCAGAAUCUAACUUGGAUUCUGGAGAGCCUAAAACUUCAGUUUUGGAAGGAAGUGGACCUUUCAGGGUUAAGAAUUAUUUAACAUCUGGAAAGAAUAAUUCCGAUGUGGAUGACAGGGAAGUUUCGGAAAGUUCAAGUGACUCAAGUUUAAAACUGCCUCCUAUAAUAUCAGAACAUAAAAUACAUCACAAGUUAGUAUUGCCUUCCAACACACCAAAUGUUCGCAGGACCAAGAGAACACGAUUGAAACCUUUGGAAUAUUGGCGGGGAGAACGAAUAGAUUAUCAUGGAAGGCCAUCAGGUGGAUUUGUUAUUGGUGGAAUACUAUCCCCAGACACAGUAUCAUCUAAAACAAAGUCAAAAGGAAACGUUGGAAAAGUCAAGAAAAUGGUUAAUAGGAAAAGGAUCUGUCUUGAUGAUGAGGAAAGAAAAAAGAAAUUCAUGGUAAAUCUGAAUAUACCUUUGGGAGAUCCGUUGCAGCCAACAAGGGUCAAGGACCCAGAAACAAGAGAGAUUGUUACCAUGGCUCUUUUAGGGCCCAAAGUAAAGUACCUAAAGUACCUAAUUCUAGUAAGCAGCCUAUGUGAGGACUACUCUGGAGGAGCUUUGAUAGCAAACAAUGUCUAGGGGACAGAAAGCACAAUGCAUUUGUCAUCUGGGAUACAAGUGCUAUCAUCAGGAGUGUUGCCUUCCCUAGUAGAAUCCAGGCUUUCUUUGACCAAGAUGUCUGUCACAUGCGGACAGAUCUUUUAAGACCACGAGAUACAUAUGAAUUUUUUAUUGAGCAUGAUGAGUUGAAAGUAUAUAAAACACUGGAUACACCUCUUUUUUCUACUGGAAAAUUGAUACUAGGACCACAUCAAGAAAAGGGAAAGCAGCAUGUUGGCUCAGAUAUAUUGGUUUUUUAUGUUAACUUUGGUGACCUUUUAUGUACCUUGCAUGAAACAUCUUAUAUAAUAACAGCCGGGGAUUCAUUCUAUGUUCCUUCAGGUAAUUAUUACAACAUCAAAAAUCUCCUAAAUGAGGAAAGUGUUCUUCUUUUUACUCAAAUAAAAAGAUGAAAGAUGAAGCAAAGUUUAAAUACAUGUGUGUAUAUAUAUAUAUAUAUGUUUGUGUGUGUGUGUAUACACACAUAUAAAAAAGUUUGUACAAUUGAGACAUUGUGAUAUUUUAAAAUAAAAAAUUGAUUCAGUUUUGUGUCCUUUUAUCUGAUAAACAUUUCAAACUCCCA